rnacentral:piRNA from 1 species
UUCAUUUAUUGAAUUGACUCA